CUUGAGGGUUGAAAGGUGACAUCCCCACCACGCUCUCCCAGAUCUUGCGUUAAAGGCAAACAGAUCUCCCUGGGCUGUGAGAAUGCCUGUUCUUGGGUCUGUUCCCUCGCAUUUUUAGGACCACUGUCAACCUUGAAGGUUUCAGACUUUAUUUAAUCAAGGAGGGCAAUACUUUUUUUUUUUUUUUAAACAUUUAUUCAAAAAGCAUCAUUGGCUGCCUACCAUGUUGCCAGGCACCGUGCAAGGUUUGGGAAUACACAGCUGAAUGAAACAAAACCGUGCCUUCAAGGAGCUUACAGUCUAUUGGGGAAACAGACCAGAAACAGAUAACUACAAAAUAAAGACACAAGUGCAAGGAGAGAGCUUUUGUCUUAACUCAGGCAAAGCAUCCUGUGAUGGGGACCAGAACUAGCCCCUCAAGCAGUAACAAGUGCCCUGAGCCAGCAAGACCCCACAUGACUGACCUCAAGACAGCGAUCGACCUUACCUUUGCUGCCCACCUGUAUAUACCCCCCCCCCAACUUUUGCCCACAUUUUCCCUGUAUAAACCCAGAGGUUUUGGAGAUAGUCUUUGAAACACUAGUCCGCUGUCUACCCAGCAUUGGCCACACUGAAAUACACUCCUUUCUUGUUUCACCACCGCUCAUCUCUCUGUCUUUGGACUUUGUCAGCAGCGAGUGACUGAACCUGGUCUGUUUGGGACACCUGGGGCCAGAUACUUUUGCACCCCGGUGCCCUGGUCACAGACCUAAAAUUAUUUGAAGUCAUUGUAACCAUAUAUUGUUUCGUUUGUAAUAUAUAUGGGUGUAAUAUAUGUAAUAAUAAUAGGACAAAUAAUAAAGUGCAGAAAUCUUAA